AAGGGCACCACAAGAACGCGUGGAGCAUGUGGCUUAAUUUGACUCAACGCGGGAAAGCUUACCGGGUCCGGACACACUGAGGAUUGACAGGUUCUUGUAGCACAUUUAUGUGCUCUGCAAAUAUGCUAGUCCUUUCAUGAUUGUGUGAUAGGUGGCGCAUGGCCGUUCUUAGUUCGUGGAGUAAUCUGUCUGCUUAAUUGCGUCUUAUUACGGAUUUCACUCUCCAUUUGUCUCUGGCAACUUGUGUAGUCGGAACAUGGACCAUGUGAUUAUCCUUAGGCAACGAACGUGACCACAGUGUCUGGUUGUACCUAGUUGGGAGGUUGAGUAAAAUCUUCCAAGUACCCUAUUUCAAAGGUAUCUUCUAGUCAGACAGCUGUAAUUAAAUUGAAACAGUAGAAAGGAUGUGGCAAUAACAGGUCUGUGAUGCCCUUAGAUGUUCCGGGCCGCACACGUGCUACAAUGAUUUAUACAGUAAGCAUAUACGAAACAUCACAGUUCUCAUAUUUGUUCUGUGAUAAGCCUGCUUCGAAAGUUAGUAGGUAAUCAAUUCGAAAUAUAAAUUCCGCCUUGCAUAACGUUCACUCUCUUUUUUGUAGAGUUGUUCGUGGCAAAAUAUACGAUUUCAAGGUAGGGACAGACCAUUGUUAAUUGUUGGUCUCGUCUUAACUAGGAAUGCCUUGUACGGGUCUUGGUUCAACAAACCAC
rnacentral:rRNA from 1 species